rnacentral:rRNA from 1 species
GCGGAGGAAAAGAAACCAACAGGGAUUGCCUCAGUAACGGCGAGUGAAGCGGCAACAGCUCAAAUUUUAAAUCUGGCCUCGUGCCCGAGUUGUAAUUUGCAGAGGAUGCUUUCCGGGUGCGGCGCCUCCCGAGUGCCCUGGAACGGGCCGCCAGAGAGGGUGAGAGCCCCGUAGGGUUGGACGCCUACCCCUUGUAAAGCUCCUUCGACGAGUCGAGUAGUUUGGGAAUGCUGCUCAAAACGGGAGGUAAAUUCCUUCUAAAGCUAAAUACUGGCCAGAGACCGAUAGCGCACAAGUAGAGUGAUCGAAAGAUGAAAAGCACUUUGAAAAGAGGGUUAAACAGUACGUGAAAUUGUUGAAAGGGAAGCGCUUGUGGCCAGACUUGGGCCCCGGGGAUCAGCUGGCUCGCCGCCAGCGUACUCCGCGGGGCCCAGGCCAGCAUCGGUUUCCCUAGGGGGACAAAAGCUCCGGGAACGUGGCUCCUCCGGGAGUGUUAUAGCCCGCUGCAGAAUACCCCUG